rnacentral:lncRNA from 10 species
CACCCAGGUGAUUAAAAAGCUUUAUUGCUCACACAAAGCCUGUUUGGUGGUCUCUUCAUAUGGACACGCAUGACAUUUGGUGCCGAAGACCCGGGACAAGAGGACUCCUUUGGAAGACUGGUCACCUGUCCUCGCCCUCACUCCAUGAGGAGAUCCACCUACGACCUCGGGUCCUCAGACCAACCAGCCCAAGGAAUAUCUCACCAACUUCAAAUCGGCUACAGGACUCUCGUCAGCAGUGCUGAGCUGUGCAGUCCCCUCGCCACGCUGUCAGACAAAAUACCUGUGUCAGCAUGCUCCUUUCAUCCAUUGCUUGGCCAGAGUCUGCAGGACAGACUCGGCAUGCUUUGAAGGUAGAGCUGAUGGAACUUCAUGCUGAGGCAACUGCUGGAUGAAAAGACAAAAUUCACCAGCUCAACUGUGUUCAAGUGUGCAACGCAGAGGCGUCACAAGAAGAGUGGGAAUGCUGCCAAGAGGCCAUUUAAACACAGUUCAUGAGUAGUUUUUCUUUUCUCAUCCCGUGUGAUGGGUGAGAUGCUUGAGCCUGCUGACAUUGUGUUCAUAUCUAACGUGCUUGUGAGAAAUUUGAAGCUACUGGUGACCUUUGUCUUCGCCAUCCUCUGCCCCAGCUGUAGGUGCUGACACUUUUAAUUGCUCAAGGGAUGUUUUGAUAAAAAAGUUGUGUUAAAAUAAAAGUUUAGUGGAAUCCUAUGAACAGCAUUUGAAUUCAUGGAACUCUGCCCU